AUUGAACGCUGGCGGAAUGCUUUACACAUGCAAGUCGAGCGGCAGCGCGGGGCAACCUGGCGGCGAGCGGCGAACGGGUGAGUAAUACAUCGGAACGUACCCAGUAAUGGGGGAUAACUAUCCGAAAGGAUAGCUAAUACCGCAUACGCCCUGAGGGGGAAAGCGGGGGAUCGCAAGACCUCGCGUCAUUGGAGCGGCCGAUGUCGGAUUAGCUAGUUGGUGAGGUAAAGGCUCACCAAGGCGACGAUCCGUAGCUGGUCUGAGAGGAUGAUCAGCCACACUGGGACUGAGACACGGCCCAGACUCCUACGGGAGGCAGCAGUGGGGAAUUUUGGACAAUGGGCGAAAGCCUGAUCCAGCCAUUCCGCGUGAGUGAAGAAGGCCUUCGGGUUGUAAAGCUCUUUCGGCAGGAACGAAACGGUCGUCUCUAACAUAGGCGGCUAAUGACGGUACCUGAAGAAGAAGCACCGGCUAACUACGUGCCAGCCGCCGCGGUAA
rnacentral:rRNA from 1 species